rnacentral:lncRNA from 1 species
CAAAUAUUUUAUGACUUAAAUUCAAUGCCCAACUUGUUCCUUAAAAAUGCUCAUUAUUUUUGGUAUGGAUCAAAACCAUUGCCAAAAAUAUCAAACAUCAAAUAAGAGCAUUUUGGGUUCUUGAAUGCAAUUUAUUUAAGCUGGACCUAUUUGGAUUUCAAAGUGCGAGGGUUUUAUCACCCCCAAUUCAACUUUUAAAUAAAAUUUGAACAUGAUGCACACAUGAAGCUAGCCUAGUGCAAAACCAUAAGCUAGGGAUGUGACAACUCACCCCCACUAAAACAAGAAUCUCGUCCCGAGAUUCAAGACGUGAGGUAAGAAAUCAGAGGGGACACAAAGCUAACAUGAUCUUCAUGAUCCAACUGCCCUUCUCAGAGAUGUUGAUCCGCUACAUCAUAUUGAUUAUGACAUCCUUUCCUUCGAGAACUUCAUCCAACAUGGCGACAAGAGAGCAAGACAACCUCACAAGACUGGAUCAUCGAUCUUAAUGAACACAAGAUCAACUCACGGAAUGAGACGUAGAAACAUCCAUUGAGGUGAGACGCAGAACACACAUCGAGAGGGGAGGAAAGAAACAUAUGACAAGGUUUCAAUUUGGCAGGCUACAAUUCCACACUUGACUAAGAUGGAGCAUGAAUUUCAAAGUAGCAAGGAGAUAAUUGCUAUGAUUUUGUAACGUGAUACCUUAAGGAAGGUGACUUGUGGAAUUAUCCCUUAAGUGGCAAAAAGAAUUACUUUUGAUACAGAGAUCAUUGGAACUCUCUAUACCAGCCUAUGGAAAUUUACAAGCGAUCGUUUGACGGAGUUAUGGAGAGUGACACACUCGGGCUAGAAUGGAUGUGGUGGACUACCUUGUUGAAGACAACGUAAUGGAUGAAUUUGCUUGCGCGUGCUCUCAAGAACUUGAGCAUUUCCAUAUUCACCAAGGUUCUACCAACAUCCAAGUCGAGGAUCCUGGCAACACAUCUUACUACCUUGACAAAUAGUGAUGGAUAAUGCAGAUGCAUAGAACGACAACCCUUUCUCAGAUUUCACCUUAGCAAGGCCAAGGGAAUGAAAUUUGGAUGAUUGACCGAGAGACAUUUAGCACUCCGCUUCUAAUGUUCUCCUUGAUGUACUGGUUACCACGGUCAUGCUUUAAAGCAUCAACAUAGUCAUCAAGUAGUGGUCGGACUUCGGAAUAUAAAGGAUCCAUAAGAAUGAACUCCUGGAGUAAAUCCUACGAAAUCCUUAUGGGGAGGUGGCCAACUUCCUCAAUCAAGAUACUACAAUAAUAGGUCUUCUGGCUGGGAGUGUUGGCCACGACAUUCACUUUACCGGUUACAGAGAGACCAAUAUUAUAGUUCUUGGAGUGUGUUCCAACCAUCAUAUCUGCCUGAGAUUCAGAUCUGGUUGGUGUAAGGAUAUUCCAGACACAUCGAGUCUAGAAAGAAAAAUGAUAGUUUGCAACACAAAUCAACGAAACGACGUUGCGAGAUUCUCGGAAAUGGACUACGAUAGUAAGCUCCAAAAUAUGAGCUGGUCUUGCUAUAAACAGGUGAACACGUUGUCUGAGACAAGCGUGACCAUGUAGUAGUCUUAUAAUAAAACACUACCGAGUUCAGGGGGAACCAUCAACGAGGAUAUCGAAGUCCUUGCGUAAGUCUAGCUCUUAAGAAGAAACUUCUUCUCCUUGAACAAAUCAAUCAGUGGCUUGGUGUGCUAGGGACACAUAUGGACUGGAGGUAGCGAACCUAACAAACCAUAGAAUACUUCGCACAUGCAUGACUAACUUGGGAUGACUCCAAAGGAUGCAAAACAAGCUUUCUCGAAUCCACGGCGGCAACUUGUAUCAGAUGCACAUGAAUUAGAGGAAGUUGCAUAUUUCAACCGGACAUAUGCUUCAUGAACGGGACAUGAGGGAAAUUCUUAUAAAGUUUCCAACACUAGUAUAAUGUUCAACAUGAAUCAUGGGGGAGACAAAAUGCUGCUGAUGGGCUCAAUAGCAACUCAUCGGAAUUUCCAUAUCACUGGACUUCCACUAUUAUGUGAACAAUGUGAUAGUAUUGGUUAGACCAAAAUAUGUAAUGGUGUAUGCUCGAGGGAUCAUCCAGGGGUAAGACAACAUUACGAACAUCGUUGGUUCUGAAUUGACUUGACAAUAGCCCAUACUCAAGUCAAUGUUUUGAGAAGGCAAUAGAUCCAACAACUGAUCACGAGGGCCAAUCAAUGGAGAUAUCAUCUUUCUUCAACACACACACACAGAAGAUAUCCCUUAGAGAUGAACUAAGAUAAGCAAAGCAUUAUCUUCCAGCUCUCCAAGUUGUUGUCUAGGUCAACCAACUGGUUCAGGGAUAUCCAACACGGAUUCUUGGAGAAUGGGUGGUUUAGAGGAAAACCAACAUGAUCACGAACUCAACAUAGCGGUCAGGUGACAACCUGGUAAUACUUCUGAGAAGAUUUUCGGAACAUCACGAACCACCGAUAUGUUACUAAGCUCGAGAACAGUCUUGCUUUUCAGAGCAAGACGAUAUGAUCAAAUAAGCAAGGGACUGAAUAAUCCUAACUCAUUGGUCGAAGAGUGCACCAGAAAUAAGGACAAGGUAGCACAGUCUAUCUUAGAAUGAUGAUUCAAUAACCAACACGCUAAGAAUGAAACUAUUGUCCAUUUACAACUAAGCAACAUCGUUGCUAGGAGUAUUAAUUUCUCACAUCACAAUUCACUUGCCGGUAUUCAGGUUACAAUAACACAGAGACUAAGGAAUGAAUGAUGGUGGCGAAAGGUAUCACUGCAUCAAGAAUUCAUAAGAGUCGGUGCAAUUCUCAUGACAUUCUUGAUAUAAGAUGGUAAUACCCCAAGGUAGGACAGAACAAAAACUGGAUUAUCAUUUUGAUCUGUGGAAUACAACUACUUUGACCCAAUCCUAGAUAUGGAUGAGCUACUGGAGUUUGUUUCUCCUAGUCAUUCCGGAAUAGUAUGGCUUGACGGACCACAAGAGUAAAAGGCAUCGAUGACCACAAAUGCACACACACUCUUGGCUAUCAACUCAUAGAGGAUGUUCAGGAUACAACUGAAGAGGAACAACUCAAGGAACAUAUAACUUUUUGAGUUGUGGAUGCAUAGAUUAGUAUGUCGAGCAAAACUCAACAUUUCUUUCGGACAACCCAUGCAGAAAGGUAGGACUGGCAGAACCGCAAUGCAGAAUGGAGAACUCAUCAAGAGCACUCUGGUUGUGAUCUUUUGGUUCAAAGAACUUCUGCUAUAAGGGGUUCGUAGUAUUUGGAAGAAGGAACUACCACGGACCUCGAGGAUUAAUGCAAAGGUUAAUAAUAUCCUAAAGGAACGAGCAAACACUAUCAACAGGAGGUAAGUAGGGUGAACUCGGGUUCAAGAACCCAGGAAUAGAAUACCUACUACUAAAUGGCAUCACGGGAUGCUUUCGAGAAUGGUGGCCAGAAUCAUCACGGGAACACAAAACAUGGCAAGAUUACUAGGUGACUCCCUAAAACACCUAGGGUCAUGAUAAUAGCCCCAACAUAUAUGUCGAGGCAACAGAGUACCUCAACUCACCGAUAGUGUGAUUACUCUGGCCCAAAAGGACAUCGUAAACGGGAAGAAAGGAUUGCAAAUGCAUCAGACUAGUUAGAGACCUGGGAUGACUCGGACAGGAUAACGGCUGUAAUUGCUCAAAAAAAUUUGAGACAUCCUGCAAAAUGGUGGCAUAACCACUCAACAUCACAAUAUCAAGGUUCUGAGGCCAGCUAUGAACAUAUGGAAGUAGUAGGAACGGAACUAAGGCUUGAACUCAACAAUCCUAGGCAACUACGGUUUUGUAACACGUCAUCCUGAGAGAUAGAAGAGAAGCCUAGUUCUUAACCCCGUAGAAAAGAAGAGUUUGACUCAAAUCAGAAGGGCAUAAGGUAAAGGAGUAAAAAGAGCCUUACGUUCCCUUCCACAAUCAAUUCCCUUAUAUAACUAAAGCAUUUCUAGACUCAACUUUGACCAGUAUGGCUUGGUAAUCCUACAGGCAGUCAGGCUCUGAUACCAAAGCUGUCAGGACCCUGAUUCCAAGUCACACCGAUCUAGCCUGUAACACCUCAUAUCACUUUGCGGCCUCACGCAUGGUAUUCCCACAGGUGUCGCCUUACCAUGGCCCGGGACCGUUUGCGCCUUUUGGCUCACGUAUAUGAUAGUGUCGCUAGCAUCCAUAUGAUAGAGAACCCGGGCCGACAUGACUAGUCGUGAACCCAAAGUGGCACUAACUUAUGGGGACAGGCAUACUUGAAUCAACAUUGAGCAUGUCGGUCAGCAACGCGCGAAUCCGGGCUGUAGCACUGGGCUAACAGGACUCCGGUGAACCGGGCUGUAGCAGGCUAGGCAGGACUCCGAAUGUCACCGCGUGACAUUUCCCCGAAGGGACAGACAUAGGAACAAAGUGAAUCACAUGCCGGCCAGUCAAGUGUUCCGGAGCAGUAGUGCUGGGCUAGCAGGACUCCGGUGAACCGGGCUGCAACGGACUACUAUGGCUCAUGGAAGCACAAGACUACAUUUCCACAUAAGAGAGGCUACCAAGGAUAAACAACUAGGUUGUCGGAUCCCACACAUACCAAGCAUUUCAAUCAUACACACAAUAUGCUCAAUAUGUGCAAUACAACAUGGCAUCACAACAAGACUCUACGACUCAGAGUAUUAUUCAUUAGGCUCCGAAGAGCGAGAUAUUACAAACAUGGGUCUCAUGACCCAACAUUCAGAGCAUACAAGUCAAAGCACAUGCGGAAGCUUAACUUGUGUGAGUACAUAGAACUAAAAAAGAAGAAGGCUGAGGAGCCUGACUAUCUACAAGACCCUCCCAAGGGUACAAGAUCGUAGCUGAGGUAACAAGCUAAACGUCGAAGUCCACGUGGAACUACUAGCGAGACUGAAGUCUCUCUGCAAAACAUAAAUUAAGCAAAUGUGAGUACAAAUGUACCCAGAAAGACUUACAUCAGAACUAACUACAUAUGCAUCGGUAUCAACAAAGGGGGUGGUGGAGUUUAACUGCAGCAAGCCAGCUUUGACUCGGUGGCUAUCCUGAACUACGACUGCAAGUAACUCUUUUGAGGUGGCGCACACGAGUCCACAAAUUCACCACACCAAUACACCACUAUGGAUCCACUCCCGUCUCCCUGCGAGAACGCCAUCCAUAGCACUCAUGCUCAUCUUGCGAGUUUUAGAGUAUCCACUUUCACUUGUCUAUGAACUAUGCAAGGGGUCCAAGUUUCCAUAUCCGAGGAAUUCGGCUAUCCGAAUAGAUAAUGAUAACCCUGCAUGGGUCUACUUCUUCACACACGCUCUCGCCACUUACCACCAUGUACACAUCGUGUAUCUCGGCAACCUUCAAGCGGAAGCCUGGCGAGGGAGUCGGCCACGACCUGACUAACCAACAAGUCUCUUGUCCAGGUUUAUCGCCUAUUCGGGUUCCAUCCACAAGGAGAUCCGUCCGGGGUGUCGCUCACGGCCCCAAACGAUCUGAGCAAGAUUCCCAAGCCCACCAUCCGGGGUCCACUUGGUACACCAUGACACUGUGCCUAGUAUGUCCCAAGCCCACCUAUACUGGGUGCCACUUGGUAGACUACUAACACUACCUACAAACACCAGAAACUAGUUGCAACUCCUGGACAAAGAUCAGGUUGAGUAAUAAGUCGAGAGAGCUUGGAGCGACCGGAGCCCAAUGUGUGGUAGUAACUGUUAAUGGAUCACAGACACAGAACUCAGUUCCUGAGGACGGCUGCAAUGAGACAACCCACCAUGUACUCCUACAUUGCCUCUCACUGCUACCUUUACCAAAUCGUGUUCACACACUUAGCUCACACACAGUAGGACAAGUUCAACACUAUUCCAAUUCAUCCCCAAUGAAUCAGACCUGACUCAACUCUAAGCAGUAGCAGGCAUGACAAACAAACAUGAAUGAGUAGGCACAUCAGGGCUCAAACAACUCCUACUCAUGCUAGUGGGUUUCAUCUAUUUACUGUGGCAAUGAUCGGUCAUGCGGAGGAAAGGGGUUCAGCUACUGCAGCAUGUAAGAGUUGAAACGUUGUUCUCCUAAUGCAGUAAAAGAGAGCAGGAGCGAGAGAGUGAGAUUGUAUUAGAAUGAACAAGGGGGUUUGCUUGCCUGGCACUUCUAAAGAUAACAUUGAGUCUUCAUCAGUGUCAUCGAUCACAACGUCGGAGCAGCGUCUAUGAAGAGGGGACAAUUACCGGCAAACAAGGAGGAGCACAAUCAAUGCAAUGCACAAUAUGAUGCAUGAUCAUGACAUGACAAUAUGUUGUGAUUGAGCUAAUGCAACUAGCAACAAAAUUAAAUGAAGUUGGUUUGAACCCAAAGUUCAAAUUCAAACUCCACAAGUGGUUAUUUAAAUGACAUUCAUUUGAUUUGUCCUAAACAGUAGCUAUAAGUUGUUCUAACAUGCAUGAAAAUGGUACAGAUGGAUAGAUUGUUUUUUCUGAUCAUUUUUCAUAUAUAAUUUGUUUCAUUUGGAGUUAUGGUUUAAUUCCUAUGAUUUUUAGAAGUUUUGGGCAUUUUCUGGAAUUUCCUGAAAAAGAAUAAAUCCAGAAAAUGAGUUAUUGCGUCAGCACUGCGUCACUGUGAAGUCAGCUAGUCAACAGCGCCUAACCAGAGUCAAACCUGACAGUGGGACCCAUAUGUCAUUGACUCAGCUAAUUAAUGUAUUUAAUUAACCUUAAAUUAAGCCUAACUAAAAUGUAAGUGGGGCCGGGGCCCACAUGUCAGCGGCUAACCUAACUAUUAGGGUUAAUUAGCACUAAUCUAAUCUAGCUAAAGAUUAACAGGGACGGGCCUGUACGUCAUUGACCCUGGGGGUCAAACCCGAGGUUAAACGGGUCAACUUCGCUGGACUUGGUCCACGGCUCAUUGCCGGUGACGCCAGAGACGGCGGAGGCGCUCGGAAUCGCAACUCAGGCGACCAAAUGAGCGGCGGAGAGGCUCUACGGGGAGCUGGUGAUCGCGCGCAUCUAACGGGGCAAGCGGGAGCAGUUGGGGUGGGCUGAGCUCAUCGGAAGGGAGCUCGUAACGGCGGCCGAAGUUCGGCCAACGAUAGUUUUACGCGUUGCGGGGCAUGUCCGGAGCCGUGGAUGGUCAUGAGCGACCUGCGGAAGUGCAACGAGUGCUGCGGUGGGCUCAGACGCGUGCUUGCACGGCCGUGGUCGCGGUGGCGACAUGGCCGGCGGUGAGGAGCUAUCCGCUCCGCUGGCUAUGGUGGUUAGAAGGCGUGGACGAGCACGGGGAGAGAGGGGAAAGGACCAGGAGCUCACGGGGAGGCGGCGGAGUAGACCGGGAGCUCACGAUGAAGCAGGGCCUCCUGCGAGGCGUGAGUCGGUGGAGGGGACGUGGGCGGUGUUGCGGUUCUUCCGAAAGCGUCAGCGAGGCAAGUCGUGGACGGUGGCCGCGGUGGCAGCGAGCGGCGUCAACGGCGGAACUCGUUGGCACUGCGGAAGCAAGCAAAGGAGGGAGAGGGAGUAUUGGGAGAGAGGGGGGAGGUCGAGGGGGUCGCAUGUCGUUCGUAGCCAGCUCCAGGCGGAUAGCGGCAAGCAGGAGGUGGCGAGCUACGGCGCACGCGGACACGCCUCUGCCAGUAGGCAGAGGUUGAAGACGGCCCUGCCCCUGGUGGGCUGGCCAGUGCAGUUGGGCCGACUACACGUAAGGCCAGGUAGGUUUUCUCCUUCUCUGUUUUUUUUAUUUUGGUUUCUGUUUUCUAUUUUUGCAAUUUGUUUUUGAUUUGGUAAAAACACCAAAUCGUUUCUAUAAAUCCUGAAAUUAAUUAUGAGCAAUAACUGAAUUAUCUCGGAGGCCCUUAGCUAUUUUCAGAAUUGUUGGAGCAUUUAAUAAUAUUAAUAGCAAUUAAAUGCCCCAAUUCAAAUAUUUUAUGACUUAAAUUCAGUGCCCAACUUGUUCCUUAAAAAUGAUCAUUAUUUUUGGUAUGGAUCAAAACCAUUGCCAAAAAUAUCAAACAUCAAAUAAGAGCAUUUUGGGUUCUUGAAUGCAAUUUAUUUAAGCUGGACCUAUUUGGAUUUCAAAGUGCUAGGGUUUUAUCACCCCCAAUUCAAAUUUUAAAUAAAAUUUAAACAUGAUGCACACAUGAAGCUAGCCUAGUGCAAAACC